rnacentral:rRNA from 1 species
GACGAACGCUGGCGGCGCGCCUAACACAUGCAAGUCGAACGGAGUCAAGAGGAGCUUGCUUUUCUUGACUUAGUGGCGGACGGGUGAGUAACGAGUGAGUAACCUGCUCUGGAGUGGGGGACAACAGUUGGAAACGACUGCUGAUACUGCAUAAGCCCACGGAUCUGCAUGGAUCUGCGGGUAAAGGAUUUAUUCGCUCUAGGAUGGACGCGCGUCCAAUUAGCCAGUUGGUGGGGUAACGGCCCACCAAGGCGACGAUUGGUAGCCGGACUGAGAGGUUGAACGGCCACAUUGGGACUGAGACACGGCCCAGACUCCUACGGGAGGCAGGAGUGGGGGAUAUUGCACAAUGGGGGAGACCCUGAUGCAGCGACGCCGCGUGGAGGAAGAAGGUUUUCGGAUUGUAAACUCCUGUCGUUAGGGACGAUAAUGACGGUACCUAACAAGAAAGCACCGGCUAACUACGUG